CCUACGGGUGGCAGCAGUGGGGAAUAUUGGGCAAUGGAGUCAACUCUGACCCAGCAACGCCGCGUGAAUGAUGAAUGUCCUCGGAUUUUAAAGCUUCUUUUUUCGGGAAGCAGAAAGUGACGCUACCUUCGUAAUAAGCCUCGGCUAAAUACGUGCCAGCAGCCGCGGUAAUACGUAGGAGGCAAGCGGUAUCCGGAAUGACUGGGGGUAAAGGAUGCGUAGGUUGUUGGACAAGCUAGUCGGGAAACUCCGGGGCUUAACUUCGGAACUGCUACUGAAACUGGUGGACUUGAGUGCAGGAGGGGCAAGCGGAAUUCGUGGUGUAGCGGUGAAAUGCGUAGAUAUUAGGAAGAACACCGAUGGCGAAGGCAGAUUACUAGACUGUAACUGACACUGAGGCACGAAAGCGUGGGGAGCAAACAGGAUUAGAUACCCUUGUAGUC
rnacentral:rRNA from 1 species